AUGAAAAAGGCAAAACCACUGUGAAGUGGCGACGCAAAGCUAAAGGGUCUUUAUAAGAUAGCCAGCUGCCAA
rnacentral:ncRNA from 1 species